UACUUUAUGAGAAAAAAACGUUGGUGGCUUAAAUCUUGGAUAAGUACCGUUGAUACAAGUUCAUCACUACCGUAAAAGCUUAAGGAUUAUGAUUUAAAUUGUGGGUAAUCGAAGCAUGUGCGGCCGUCGGGAGCAUUCAAAAUCUGAACCGAGUUCUACGUCCACCGGAGAAGCGGCGACCAACAUCAUCAAUAUGGAUCACUUAACUGUGAAAACUGAGUACUGCUUUUCUAGCUUACUUGAGCUUGCUUCUAACAAUGAUGUUGAGGUUAUUAAAGGAUUUAUAGAUCAAGAUGCUUCUUCGAUAGAGGAGGUCGGACUUUGGUAUUGUCGUGAAAAGGGUUCAAAACAAAUAGUAGCAAAGCAUAGAACCCCAUUAAUGGUUGCUGCUACCUAUGGUAGCGUUGAUGUUGUUAAGCUUAUAGUGACUCACUCUGCGGCUGUCAACCAAUCGUGUGGUGCAGACAAAAGUACUGCCCUUCACUGUGCUGCCUCUGGCGGAUCUCUUCAUGCAAUUGAUGUUGUUAAUCUACUUUUUUCGGCUGGUGCUGAUCCAAAUUGCUCAGAUGCCUUCAGACGUCGACCUGCUGAUGUUCUUGUAGUACAUCCAAAGCUCCAAGGCAUGAGAGGUGUUCUGGAAGAACUUCUUUCAGGAUGUGUUUCUGAUGACCCCUUUGGCAAGCACAAUUUAUGGAUAUCCAUUGAUAACUCUGCUUCUGGCUCACUGACCCUUUCUUCAUCACUGGAAAAUGGAUCAUCACCCUCUGCUUCGAAUCUGGCAUCUUCACCAAUGGCUUCAAAGUUCAUUGAUAUACCUGUUAACUCUGCAACAGAGAGGAAAGAGUACCCUGUAGACCCCUCUCUCCCUGAUAUUAAGAACAGCAUUUAUGCAACUGAUGAGUUCCGCAUGUUUUCAUUCAAGAUCCGUCCUUGCUCGAGAGCAUACUCCCAUGACUGGACAGAGUGUCCAUUUGUUCAUCCAGGAGAGAAUGCACGGAGAAGGGACCCUCGUAAGUACCACUACAGCUGUGUCCCUUGCUCUGAUUUCAGAAAAGGGUCUUGUAGACGUGGGGAUAUGUGUGAAUAUGCCCAUGGAGUUUUUGAAUGUUGGCUACAUCCAACACAAUACCGCACUCGGAUCUGCAAGGAUGGCACAAGUUGCGAUAGGCGGGUGUGCUUUUUUGCCCACACAGCUGAAGAACUCCGCCCACUGUAUGUGUCAACUGGCUCGGCUGUUGCCUCUCCGCGUGCAGCUGCAUCUGCAGCUAGUGCCAUGGACAUGGCUGCUGUUAUGAGCCUUUUACCUGGUUCACCCUCAUCAGUAUCUGUCGUAUCCCCUUCACCAUUUAAUCAAUACAUGUCUCCAUCUGCAAAUGGCCUUUCGCACUCAUCUCCAGCGUGGCCUCAACCAAAUGUUCCAACACUUCAUCUCCCUGGAAGCAACUUUCAAUCAAGUCGCCUGAGAUCCUCCCUUAGUGCCCGAGACAUCCCACUUGAGGACUUUGAUAUGUGGUCAGAUUUUGAUGCUCAAGAACAGAAUCUCAAUGAUUUACCCUGCUUUUCCCAGUCUCUUAACAGUCCAAUGUCUCUGAGUCGUUCUGGUCGGUCUAGAACAUUAACUCCUUCAGACCUUAAAGAGCUAUUUUCUGCAGAAAUCUCAUCAUCUCCUAGAUAUGCUGAUCGGCAAGUUGCUUCUGCUAUAUUUUCUCCAACUCAUAAUUCGGCUCUCCUUAAUCAAUUUCAACAGCAACAGAGCAAGCUCUCUCCUAUCAAUACUGGUAUUUUUGCACACAAAAACGUCGAGCAUCCACUGUUACAGGCUUCUUUCGGUGUUGGGUCUCCUGGAAGAAUGUCACCAAGAUGUACUGAGCCAAUUUCCCCCAUAGCUGCUCGCCUUUCUGCACAUGCUCAGUACGAGAAGCAUCGACAGCAGCUAGGUUGCCUUAGCUCCAGAGAACUUGGUUCUAACAAUCCUGCUACUAUUGUUGGAUCCCCUGUGAAUUCUUCUUUGUCCAAGUGGGGUUCACUUAAUGGAAAGUUGAACUGGUCAGUUAGUGCAGAUGAAAUGGGUCAAUUAAGAAGAUCAUCAUCGCUUGAGCUUGGUAAAGUUUCUGAGGAGCCUGACUUAUCAUGGGUCCAGUCUCUUGUAAAGGAACCCCAACCCGAGGUGAUGAAAGAAAAGCUGGUAGUUCCUGUCCCACACGGCGCAUCAUCUGGCGAGGUUUCAAAUGAUUCUAAUUCCCAGAUUGAUUCUAUUAUAGGAGCAUGGAUUGAGCAAAUGCAGCUUGAUCAGCUUGUAGUGUAGAGAAAAAAAAAUGAUAACACCAGGAAGUCGAGAUGUUGUGAGGAUAAACUAAGCGUGGCUUAAAGAUUGCAGCAGAUUUCCUGCAAAAAUGGUGUAGGAAGCCUCAGACGGGGCAAAUACUAAGCACUCAAGCGCCUGCUGUUUAAGGUUUUGUACCAUUUUGAGUUCUCAUAAUACUUCCAUAUUUAUUUGUUACAGUUGCAGCAGAUUUCCUGCAAAAAUGGUGUAGGAAGCCUCAGACGGGGCAAAUACUAAGCACUCAAGCGCCUGCUGUUUAAGGUAUUUGUUUUUCAUAUGAUUUAGAUGUUAUGCAUUUUAUGGGAUAAUACUAGUAAUAAUGCAUUUCCUUCUGAUGAUGUAAAAACCAAGUUUAAGUUAUUAUUUCAAUAUCUUUAUUUUUUGUCCUA